rnacentral:rRNA from 1 species
UUUAAUUGGAGAGUUUGAUCCUGGCUCAGAAUGAACGCUGGCGGCGUGCUUAACACAUGCAAGUCGCACGAGAACUCUUCUGCUUGCAGAAGAUAGUAAAGUGGCGCACGGGUGAGUAACGCGUGGGUAAUCUACCUCUGAAUUGGGGAUAACAUUGCGAAAGCGAUGCUAAUACCGAAUAAUAUCCCGAAAACUUAGGUUUUUGGGAUCAAAGAUGGCCUCUACAUGUAAGCUAUUGUUUGGAGAUGAGCCCGCGUACCAUUAGCUUGUUGGUAGGGUGAUGGCCUACCAAGGCAACGAU